ACAAUUAAGCAAAUGUUAUUAUGUUGCCAGCAACAAAAGGAAUGCCCCUGAGUAUACAACUUCCCCUUGCUGUAAUAAAUAUGCAGACACGAGAACUGUGCCUGCAACCCAGUGCUUAAGCAGUCUUAAAAAAACCCACACAACACCACCAUCAACAAAAAAACAACUUUGGGGAACACAAAGAAGCCAGCAGGAACAGUCUGAAAGUUAACACGCCAAGACCUACUUGCCAGAAGAGGAGAAAUGAGAAGCACAGGGUGCUACAGCCAAAACCCCACUCCCAGCAAUAAGAAGAGAGGAAUAAAAACCAGCAAGUCCCUUAGGGGAAAGAAAAAAAAAUAAUUGAAAGAGAGAUGUUGCGUUUUCCUUCCCAAUUAACAUUUUGUGUGCCGUGUGGGUGCGACUCAUCAGCCCGAACCUCGGACAGUGUUCCAGCAGAGCACGUGGACACCUCCUGGAUCUGAGGCAAGUGAUGGUGAAGCAGCCACUCUGCCCCUUGCCACGCUCCUCUGGUGCCCAGGAAGAGCCCCGCAGAGCCGGCUGCUGCUGGCACAGCUCCUCAGGCCCAUGGGAUGUUUCCACCAGAAGUGGCUGUGUAUAUCUCAUGGGCUCGUGUUGGUGUACGUGUGGGCAUGUGGCUUGUGCCGGCUGAUGAGGGUGUCAACGUGGAAACAGCUUUCCUGGUGGUUUUCAAUGAGCCUCGGGGGAAUCCUUGGCAUAAGCAGACUGUAUGCCUUCCUCUUGUCUCAUCCAGGAGUCUUUGGGACCACCCCCCAAUACAAAAACACGUGAGCUCUAAGAGAAAAACGAAGCAAAAGCUGUCCUUCUACUCAGCACUGAGAGAAAUCUCAUGCUGAGGAGGCCCAAGUGCUUAAUGCACCUUUAACCUUGUAUUUUCUCUCAGUUUUCUUUGAAAAGGGCUGACUGCAAUGACUGAUAAGCAGUGUGACUAGCAUUAGCAACAGAAGGGACAUUAAUCCAUGCUAGGACAGAAAAAGGAUGAAAAAGAUCAUGAGGGCACGAUGAAAUCAGCCCUUCCUGGAGGAGUGGUGGCUGCAGACCCAUUACUGGGGGCACUGGGAGAAUGCACUUGUUGAGUACGCAAGCCAACUGGGAUUGUAAAGGUUGGAGAAAUAACCCAAAGAGAAGAAGCAAUUCAAGUAAAGAAAUAUGACCGAGUUCCCUGGAUUCACCGAGUGAAUGAAGUGGUGAAUAUCUAAACAGUAUUAGUGAGAAAAGAGCAUUGACCUGAGCUGUGCUGACAUUGGGUUGGUCCUGGUGAUUUCAAAGAAUCGAGCAUCACACUCAGGUAGAAGAUUUGCACAAUUACUGUACAACAGAACAUUUAGCAAGGAAGAAUUUUUAAAGGGGUGUAAAUAGUUUUAUUUCUACAAAGCAGCUUACAGUGAAACCAACAACAACAACGAAAACUGUUAAAAGUUAUUACCAGUUCCACAAUGACAUUUAUUUUAGGAGAUUAGCCAAUGCACUGGGUGUAAAUGCCUUUGCUGAAGUUAUAUGUGCCUAGCAUCAGUUAUGAUUGCUUUGACCUCUGCUUACCCUGAAGAGAGAGCAUCAGAAACUUGUCAUUUUUGUGAAGGAGGAUACAGGCCAUAGGGUAAAUCCUCAUUAAACCUCUUAGGAAGUUCUGAUUUAAAAAAUAAGCAAAUGGCAGGCUGAAGUACAGGGAUUAUAGAAGCCGAGGACACCUGAUACAGAUACAGAGAUUUAUCGGAGGGAAUAGAUUUAACUGGUGCUUGGUUUUCCUUUUUCUUCCGAGGGAUUGCUUUUAAUCUGGAUCCAGUUCAGGGAAAUGAACAUCCUGAAAGAAGCUUUAAACUGCUUCCACAGCCAGACAAGAAUUAGAUUUGUGGAAACUUUUGAACCAUAUACAGAUGUCUUUUGCAUAAGGAAGGUGAGGCAGCCUUACAUGCGAGCUCUGAACUGAUCAUGGAAGCAGACGCCGCUUUCUCUUCUUCAAAGCUCGUUUUAGCAGUUCAGUUUUCUUUCUCUACCCUUUCCUGCCUGAAGAUACUGUAUUUCUGUUAGCUGUUCAUGUAAAACACAGUUCUGAUGGAGACAGCAGGGCUUAUCACAGCACGAAGGCAAUCAGUCUUUGUGCCUGGGGGGGGCAUCUGCUUGGGCCACCUUUCUUUCCUUGACACGGGGAGGAUUUUUUUUUUACUGUUGGGUCUGAUCCUGAUCACUCAGAGAAGAAAGUUUGGUUCAAUCUCUUUCAAAACAGAACAUCUUGCAUGAAGCAGAGAUCUUGGCUUCUCUAGAACCUCUGACGCCUUUUACAAACAGGAUUGGUAUGGACAAAGUCCAUAGUGAAGUGGUCCAUGGUUUCCUGUGCUGCACAGUGCCUCAUGAAACAGCCGUGGUGGGUGAAGGAAGGACAGAUGGAGCAGAACAGAUCUGGGAAAGAUCUGCGCUGGUUCAAGGUUGUGGAUGUGCCGGGUUGUCUGAGCGUGUACAGCUCCCGUUGCCAUGAAGGAUGUGCUUGGAGUCACUAUUUUUAACACCUGUGGAAACAAGUGUUAGCAUGAAGGCACAUUCCAGUUUCUGUGUUCCUACAAACGCACCUCAUCUACCUCCACCAACACAGACAACCAAAUAUAAAUACUAAUUGAUACAAAUAUAAAUAGUGUUUAUAUUUUAUAUUCCUUCAAACCCUGCUUAAAAUGUCCUCUGUUGUAGCUUUUUGGUAUUCCUCCUCUCCUCAUCAAAUACCUCUUCUUCUUGUUCCAAUGGAAAAAAGCAAAACAGACCCAUUUUGUGCUGGGAUUUUAGAUGCUGGAUGCCUGCAAAACUGCCUUCUCAGCCGUGUGGCUGAGACCUCAAAGCUGAAGAACGCGUCCUUCAUACUCAGUUGCUGAGGCACUGGGGAUUUCUUAUGCGGAAGGAUUUUUUAACUAAAUGUAUAAAUCUUUUGGUAUUCAGGUGCUGCAGGAAGAGCUCCCACGUGCAUUUAUUUAACAUUAAGGUCCGUUAUAACUUCCACUCUGGCGUGAAGGAUAGGUUCAAUUACUUCCUGAUUUACGUAAAAAGCACUUAGAUUGUCUUAAGCAUCGUGAAAAAAAAAAAAAAGUUUUUGUUUCAUAUAUCUCAAUUUCAGUAAAUUAUUCAUGUGAAUUUCAUUUUGACCAAAAGAAAGAUUUGUCCAAGCUGGAGAUCACCUUGCAUUUCACGAGCUCUAUAUACCUGGAGGCCUCGAGUUGCAUCGCACACCCAGCAAGGUCAGUGCUUCUCCAGCUGUCACCGCACCUUGCAGCACCGACCUGUUUCUGGUGGCCAUGGAAGUGCUGGGAAUAAAAAAUAAAUCCAGAUUUCUAAACCUGGUUUCCUUGUGCAGUGGCCUGUCCUUGGGCUUGGUCUUCGACGGCAUGAAACAACAGUGUGAUAAAUAUAUGUCCGUCAGACACUUGCAUAGGGUGGAUGCAAAUGCACUUUUAAAAACUCUUCCAUAAUCUUCCUUUGCAAUGGCGUGUUCGAGAUCAAACAUCAGAGCUCAAUUUUCUAUAAUUACUCAGGUUUAUGGAGCUGUCAUCACCAUGUCAAGAAAGCUGAGAAAUUAGAGCAUGGCUUUUAAUUUUUUUUUAAAGUAUUCUAAAGAAAAUGUUGCCUUUCAUGUAUAAAAUGAAACAGAAUAUGGCCACUGUGGGAUGGACUGGCAGUUCCUUUGAUGGCUUGAUUUACAUUCAGCUAACUAUUGUUAAAAAUGAAUAUGCUCUGUCCAGAUUUUGUGCGAGCUAAAUACAUUUCUCUGCCUUAUUUCCAUCUUCGCAAAUACGCAUUUGCAGUAUAUUGUUAACAACUACGAGCAUUAUAACUGGUGAUACAGCAGUCUGCACAUUUUGGACAUUAUAUCAUUACGAUAAAACUUUGCGGGCUGUUGACCCAACUUAAAUUGGGAACUAGCUUCUUCUUAUAUACUUACCUAUACUCACACUAGUUGAUAGCACCAGUAAGAGGGUGAAUGAUGGCAGUAAUAAAGAAUUCUCCACUGAAUUGAUAGUUUUAUUUAUUUUCAAGAAAUGCUCUUGCCACAUCAUUAAAGACCUUGAAGAAGAUCUUUAUUGUCUCAUUUUCUUCAUAUUUUUUACAUUUUCUGUGUGGGAUUGUAUA